GUGUUCUGUUUUAACUUUAUCGCGAAUUUGAAAGUUUGCCUGCCAAUCACUUGCUUUCAGUUUUAUUAAUAUGUAUUUUAAGGUAGUUGGCUUGUUAUCGCUUUUUAGCUUCUUCUCACCCCCUGUCAAAGCGAGCAAUUUAACAAAUUUUUGAAUUCAUAAAUAUACGAUAUACGCGUUGCUGACUUUAUAUGGGGUCUUAUCAUAAUUUGUUAUGGAAAUAUUUGUUUUUAUACAUAACCUUAAAUUCCAUGAACAUGUGUGAGAAAAUAAAAGUUCAUUUUAGGAACAUUGCAAACACUAUAGAAUAAAAAAUAAGAGAUAAAUAUUA